AAAGGAAGAACGAGGAGGAACCAGAGAAGGAGGCAGAGAACGAGGGACAGGCCUCGGGCAAGAAGCCAGGCAGACACCAGCCGCAGGACAUACGAAGUGAAAGUAAGAAAGGUCUGCUGUUCUGACGAAGGAUCACUGGCAUGUACAUCUUCCCAACUUGAUAGUGACGGAUGCACCUGAAUGCACCUGGUGCCCAUGGAGGCUAGAAGAAGGCAUUGAAUCCCCCUAGAACUGGAGUUACAGAUGGUGGUAAAGCCACCACAGGGGUCCUGGAAGCUGAACCCAGGUCGUCUGCAAGAGCUACAAGUACUCAGCUGUUGAGCUCUCUUUCCAGCCCCGUGCUGUCUUUUUCUAUGUGCACUGCAAAUGAGUAAUCUAGGCUCACCACAAUCCUAUGAAGGUCUCUUCUAGUUGUCUACUUGAAAAAUGAAUCAGGGAUCACUUCAUCUUUUCUGGGAUUACCUCAGUUCCUGGAGCAGCUCCACAGCCUACAAAUUUUCCAGAAUUAGUGAGAAAUUGCUGGUACAAAGUAUUCUGAAUUAUGCCUGACGCAAGCAAAUGUGUUCUGGAAUCAACGUGAGAUGUCACUCUGCCGCUCCUUGAGCCGGUGGCAGUUCUCAGAGACUUUGUUCACCACGAACUUCCCAUGACUACCAUCUGGCAACCCCCCCACCCCCAGGAAGCCAAAGAAAUGAGGCCACUUGAUUAUGGACCAAACCUCCCAAAUCAAGAGCUAAGCUGUCUGCGAUCUAGUCCCCAGCUAUCUCUUGUCCAGCACAACCUCCCCGUCUGUCACUGCGCUCUGCCUGGCUGUUCUCGGAACACAGCAAGCUGUUUUUCUGCCUUAGGACCUUUCUUCCCUUCUUUUGUUGAGAUGUAAUCUUGGCUGGAGCCUGAAUGUUUGGAUUCUGUGGUAUGUAUUGUGUCACCGCCAUUCAAAUACAGAUAAGGUAUCUUUUAGCUUCCAGGGAAUUUGGAAGAUUACCGACACAUCCUUGAAGGCACCGUCCCUGAGCGGGUCCUCUUGCUGUUGUACUGUCUGUUGCUCGAGCUACUGUGUUCUCUCCAUGGUGCUUGCGAUGAUCUGCAGUUGCUCUGUGAACUAUGUGCGUGUUGUCUCCACCCCCAGCUGCUCCACCCUCCCAUGGAAAGCAUGUGUCUUGUUUACUUCUAUGAGUCUAGCACCCUGAAUAGCAACAGUACAUAUAGGUACAUAUAGGAGGCACCCAAGAAAAGUUAUCAAAAAUGAAUUAUCAAAAUGAA